CAGGGGAGGGUCACUACAGAUGUUGUCCAUCAAUCCUUGGGAGUUGUGUUUGAGAUCCUGUCCUUGGCAAGAAGCAGAGCAAAGAAAGGGACCCUGAGGAGUGAGCAGUGCCUCAGGCAGGUAGCAGAGCUUGAAACGAAGAAUGCACAGCUGAUGGAUGAAGUCACCCUUCCCCUUCAAUGCGAGAUCCAUCUGCCCAAAGAUAGACUUCCCUUGCACAGACACCUCCGUCCCAGCAAGUCACGUUGGGCUCCCUUUGAAGUCAACAGAGAAGAACAGCGAAUUUGAGGACAUGCUUCAUCUCCUCCCAAAAUAGAGACUAAAACAGAUUAGCUGACUCAUGCCCUAAAAGACUCCGAUUUUCCCCCACAGAUUACAAAGAGAGCUCACACGGCCACAUUCGGAUUAGUCUGUGCUGAGGCAAUUGAACUUUCCAUCGCUCCAACCCAGCCACGCUCUCUGCACAGGACAUGGAGCAGAGCUUGAGGGAGCGGCUGAGGAAUCCUGUUGAUCAGAUCCCAGUAACGAUGAGUUUCCAACCACCUUGGAGCUUAGAAAUCCUCACGUUGAAAACUUGGCAAUUAACAUGUCACUGGCACCAGCCACGGCCUGAUGUUCAAACAUUCCCCUUUUCCAAGGUAUUUAAAGUCACGAUUGUAUUUUAUAUUCUCCCCUGCAAUUAGCACAUUAAUCAGUCCCUGUAUUUUAAUAUACUACAUGUCACCUUUAAAAGCCCCUGAGGUUGACAGAGUUUUGGGGAAAGGCAGGUUCUUCUCUCUCCAAGAAUCUCCCCCAGCGAUGGCCUUUCUAAAAAUUCCUCUGCCAUUUUCAUUUCAAGUGACAUUUUACUGGAAAGGAUUUGAGCAUAUUCCAUCUCAGCCUGAGUAAGUCUCUGGAUAUUGUUAGUCAAUUAAUAAAAAUGUGAACAGCUUC